GGAGAACUGGCUAGUUUUUGCGGAUGGGGAGGCUAGAGCGCAUAUGAUCCAGACCAUCAAGGAUAUCAACGCACAGACUAUAGAAGAUCCUUCUCUGACAAAGAACGUGGGUGGACAGUCUGUCCAGGCCGGGGAAGUGAUUGGUAAGCCUUCUUCCCUUUGAUUUUCUCCUGUCUUUUCCUGUUGGAUUGGCUUUUAAUCUUUACCUGUUUGGUGCAGUCUCUUCUGUCAUUGCCGCCGGGGAUUUGGAGCUCCCUUCCGCUGAUGAGGAGGAUGAUAUUGGGGCAGAACAGACCCCUGUCGAGGCUGUUCCUUCUGGUAGAAAGAAGCGGAAAGGGGCUGGUAUUUCUGCUGGGAGUCCUUCUCCUCCUCCUACUAAGCUAAAAAAGCUUAAGAAGAAGGGUGAAGUGGAGUACUUUGCCGCAGAAGAGGCCGCA